CCUACGGGAGGCAGCAGUAGGGAAUCUUCCGCAAUGGACGAAAGUCUGACGGAGCAACGCCGCGUGAGUGAAGAAGGUUUUCGGAUCGUAAAACUCUGUUGUCAGAGAAGAACAAGUUGGAGAGUAACUGCUCCAGCCUUGACGGUAUCUACCAGAAAGCCACGGCUAACUACGUGCCAGCAGCCGCGGUAAUU
rnacentral:rRNA from 1 species